CAGGGAUUGCCCCAGUAACGGCGAGUGAAGCGGCAGCAGCUCAAAUUUGAAAUCUGGGGUCCCCGACCUCCGAGUUGUAAUUUGGAGAGGCAUCUUCGGGGGGGAGCGCCGGCCCAUGUUCCUUGGGACAGGACGUCACAGAGGGUGAGAAUCCCGUGCCUGGCCGGCUGCCUCCUCCCGGGUGAAGGGCCUUCGACGAGUCGAGUUGUUUGGGAAUGCAGCUCCAAGUGGGUGGUAAAUUUCAUCUAAAGCUAAAUACCGGCGGGAGACCGAUAGCGCACAAGUAGAGUGAUCGAAAGAUGAAAAGCACUUUGAAAAUAGAGUCAAAAAGUACGUGAAAUUGUUGAAAGGGAAGCGCUUGAGACCAGACUCAGGCCCGGGCAAACAUCGCGCCCCUCGGGGCCGUGCAAUUGCCUGGGCCUGGGCCAGCAUCAGUUGGCGUGGCGGGACAAAGGCGCGGGGAAUGUGGCUCCCCUCGAGGAGUGUUAUCAGGCCCGCGCUCAAUGCCGCCGACGUCGACUGAGGACCGCGCCUCGGCUAGGAUGCUGGCUUAAUGGCCUUCAGCGACCCGUCUUGAAACACGGACCAAGGAGUCUAACAUCUAUGCGAGUGUUUGGGCGACAAACCCUUGCGCGGAAUGAAAGUGAGCGGAGGUGGGAACCCCCCAGCGGGGCGCACCAUCGACCGAUCCUGAUGUCUUCGGAUGGAUUUGAGUAGGAGCAUAGCUGUUGGGACCCGAAAGAUGGUGAACUAUGCCUGAAUAGGGUGAAGCCAGAGGAAACUCUGGUGGAGGCUCGCAGCGGUUCUGACGUGCAAAUCGAUCGUCAAAUUUGGGUAUAGGGGCGAAAGACUAAUCGAACCAUCUAGUAGCUGGUUCCUGCCGAA
rnacentral:rRNA from 1 species